CUACUAAGCACUUAGCAACUUUAUCUUUAUGUUAGCUACAGCUUUCAAACCACUUGCAAGGGUAGCCCCACAUACAGCACAUUAACAGUGCCUCUAAUCAUGAGGUCACCAAAGUAUGAACCACAAGGCUAUCUCUGUCCAUGAAUAGCUGUAGUUGGCAUACCAACCAAAGAUAGAAAUGGGUGCUCCAAGCUACUGAGGUCACCUGACUUCUGGUGAGAUGGAUGCAUCUAGGAGCAACCCCAAACAAUGUACCUGCUCCUUCAAAGGAAAUGCAACCUCAUUCAGAGUUCAUAUACAACCCAGUUCACGCACUUUGGAACCACCUAUCCAUAGGCGCAAAAUGAAAGGUAGAGAGAAGGAAACAGCUUGCACGUGCAUGUCUUCCUCAAAGAAAGAACAACAAUUCCCUGUGGUUUGAUGUACAAAGAACUAGACUCCAUCCUGGUAAACAGGCCAACGAGCUAGGCUUGACUAGGCCUCUGCAUUCUCUAACUUCCUUUACCUAAUAGAAGUUGCUGUCGACAAGCAACUUCCAAGCCACAGCCCAGCCUCAUGUCAGAGGAGAGUGAACAAUUAAAGAGACAAAGUACUGAAAAAUGCAUAACAAAAGCCCUGCAAAUGGGCACCAGGAGCUCCAGGAAUGAAGCUGGCACAUGCUAAUGAUGAACAUGUUUUUGGUUAAUCUUUAAUGGGUCACAACUAAAGUGAUGGAUCGGAGAUGGUGUCAGCUGGGAGGCACACCCGUUGAGGGAGAAGGCCUUUUCAUUCGAUAUGACAGCCCCCAGCCUCUUUGUGCUCUUUUCCUCAAGUUAAUUUCUCCAAUUCAACAAGCUUUCAAGGGACAUGGUUAAAAUUGAAUUUUGAGGUUUAUGUCACUCCUUAUCCAGGCAGGCUCCUCACAGCCAGAAAGGCAGCACAGGAGCUCCAAGGAAACCCUGACAGAAGACAAGAUUUCCUCGGUCACAUGGAACUUCACAUCCAAAAGAAACAGCUGCUUACCCAUCUGGACACAAGACCUGGCUUUCAUCUCUUAUAGAGUUUUCCUCUACAUCCUAAGUGACAAAUCAAGCAACAAAAUAUCCUCAUUGAAUUAUGCAUGUAGCCAACAGCAGCGGUGACGACUUGAUACCAAAAACCCAGAGGAGGAAAAUGUCACGAGAGUUGGAGAUUAGUAAGGGGACUUAGAAAAAGUACCCAUUUUUAAAAAAUUGACUGCGGAGCUCUAUGUCGCCAAGCAAUAAUUUAAUCAUUUGCUUCCUCCUCACCCACAACCCGGCUUCUUUUUAGUGACAUGAAAAAUCCUGAUAAUGUUGCAGAAACAUGGAUUGCUCCCCACAGCCCGUGCCAGAUCCUAGGGCCCUACAUCUCUCUGUGUGGAAAGGCCGCCAUGAAGGGAAAUGGCAUCUUGCAAAGCCCUUUCCCCUCUGACUGCUGGCCUUAGUAAUGUUCUCUCUGUGCCAGCAGCCCAAGCAGGCACCCAGGAGAACAACCCAACACCUGUUGCAGGUGGAAAGCCCUAAGGAAAUCAGGCUCACAGUGGGACUGCUGUUCCUCUAUAAUUAUUACAAUUUUAAUCAUUUCUUUUUAAUAAUAAUAAUAAAAUCUUUCCCUUAAGCCAUCUUGCACUGCAGAAGCUACCGCUGCUGCUGCCAUGGUUACGGUUCCAAGCUAGCCAAUGCUAGCAGCAAAACCACAGUCUCCUGAUAGUGUUGAACCUGUGAGCUGUGCCAUCAUGCAAGCGCCAGCCACUGUGCUGGCAAACCGGCUGGCAUUGCUCUUCUGCUAUAUAUUUUCCUGCAUUUAAACUUGAGAGAUUGUGAGAAGCAAAAUCUCUCAUUAGCAAAGGGCUCAUUUCGUGUGAUCAGACUGCAAUCUCCGCCCCACCUAUAUUUAAUUAUUGAUUUAUUGAUUUAGGCUGAAUAUCUUUGCCUUUAAGAUCUGCAUGAGAGGCAACAGCUUUUGAGAGAAAGACUAAGCUUUUCCAAUCACUACAUCUCCAAGCUGUUGAUCCCGUCCCUCUCACCUGUUGAUUUCUAUGAACUUAUUAAAAACAAGGAGAUCAAGAUGGAUACAAACCAAAAGUGGGAUGGAGUAAAUCCUGAAAAGAAAAGACAUGUGCAGGGGUCAGCAACCUUUUUCAGCCGUCCACUGUCCCUCAGACCAUGUGGUGGGCCGGACUAUAUUUUGAAAAAAUAAUGAACUAAUUCCUAUGCCUCACAAAUAACCCACAGAUACAUUUUAAAUAAAAGGACACAUACUACUCAUGUAAAAACAUGCUGAUUCCUAGACAGUCCGCAGGCCGGACUGAGAAGGCAAUUGGGCCACAUCCGGCCCCCGGGCCUUAGGUUGCCUACCCCUGGACAUGUGUAUGGAGUUGUGGUGGUAGAAUGUGGAAUAAUUUAAAUAUGUUUAAAAUGACAAUGUGCUGAAUUAAUUAAUUAAUUUUUGAGGUUGGCGACUGUUGUUUUUGUUUGCUCUAACACACCAGGAAUAUAGAAGCCAUUCCAAAGCAUGGAAUGGUGGCAUCUAUCAGCUGCCAGCCAUGAGCCAGAUAUUUGCCAGCAAUAUGCUACAUGUUCCUUCCCUUUUUAUAUCUUAGUAACCUGCCUUUCACUCAUGAAAAUUCUGUUCAUGGUUUGAAAACCAUGCCUGACUUUAAGGAGGCUCUUUGUGACAUCCAUACUUAAGCAGAGGCACCUGCCAUUAAAUAAAAUUGCAGUAAUGUUGUCUCUGUUUUCCAAUACAUGAACAUUUAACAUAAAUCUUUGUAAGUAUCAAUUUUUACAACACACACACACACACAUUUUCAGGCUUAAUGACUCAUCAAUGCCAAGCUAAUAAAUAAAAUAAUUUUGGUUAAAAUGAAUAAUACAACUGUUAUCGGGAACAUUAAUAUUUCAGGAGAAGCAAGAGGGGAGCUCAGGAAGACGAAGA
ensembl:lncRNA